UAUUUUAGGACCAUUGGUGUUCUUUAAAAAUCUAGUAGAAUUCAUUUUGAAUACAUCUGACCUUGGACUUUAUUGUUGAUUUUUUGGUUAUUAAUCUUUUAAAUUCAUUGCUUGUUAUUGACCUAUUCAGGCAAUUUAUAUGUAUUUGGAAGUUUGCACAUUUCUCCCUCUCAGUUGAUUGCAAUAUAGGUUUCCUAUUCUUACCCAUAGGUUCUUAGGUCUGUUUUAAUGGUUGUUUUUCUUGGAUCUGUUUAUUUAUUUUAUGUAAGUUAGUAUAGUGUUGUUCUCUUUAGACACACCAGCAGAGGACAUUAGAUCCCAUUACACAUGGUUGUGAGCUACCAGAUAAAUUACUGGUAAUUGAACUGAGGACCUCUGGAAGAAUAGUCAAUGCUCUUAACCACUGAGCCAUCUCUACCCUUGUUCUAAUGGUUCUUAGAGCCUAGCAUAUGUACUAGUGUACAACAUACAUUUGUUUCUCUCAUUUUACUCUGUAUCUUUUAAUGUUGUUAGGUUUGGGAAUGCUGCCUCAGUUUCCUCUCUCCUUUCCAAGGACCAUGUUUUCUUUUUCAUUGUUCAUUAUGGUCUGUUUGGUUAGGUUCAGCUCUCACCUUCAGUGUGUUUUGUCACCUAUUGCUUUGGGGUUUGUUUGUUAUUUUUCCGACAGAGACUCUUUCCUGUGUCUCUCAAAUGAUGAAGGAGAAGAGGCUCAUCUCCGUGGUUGUUGAACCAUGGGAGCAGGGAGUAUCCUGAUAAGGACUGAGAGGUUCUGGAAGGAGCCAGGUUCUAGCUUCCUGGGGAUGUGUGUCUGUACACCAUCAGACAGCAAUGAAACACUGGGUAUGUGUGCUUAUAGGCUUCCUCCAGUGGCUGGAAUUUACCUACUAGCUCUAUGCUCUGUCAGCUUACAGCAGCACCAGCCAUGAUGUCAUGGUCAAACUGGUCAAGCCUGGCACCCUAUGCCAGCUCCUGACUUUGUAUUUGCAACAUGUCCUGGAUCCUUGACCACCAGCAGCAGGUGAGUUACCCAUGGGAAAUGGGACCCUUUGGUUCCUUUUGCACAUUUACUAGGCUGAACAGUCAUGUCCUCUCUCUCCCAGCAAAUGGUGCAACGACCUUUCUGAACAAGAUGUGAAAGUGUUUCCCGCUGAGCCUUGAGAGGUGAACAUAUAUUGUGCCUGUCAUCUGGACUGAAAAACUUGAGGAAGGGCCAUCCAUAUUCCCGCUCCCUAACCAGGACACUGCUAAGCCUACGUGCCUGGUCUCCUUCAUAUGAGCCGGUGCUUCUUAACCUUCGUAACUCUGCAGCCAUUUAAUGCAGAAACACAAUGCGUGAACCUGCUGCAGGGUGGAGAAGAGACAACUUGAGCCUUUUCCCAAACACUUAUGGACUCCUUCUAGAUGUAUUCUUGGAUGAGGUUUGCAAGAAUUUUAUUGAGUAUUAUUGUGUUGAUAUUCAUAAGGGAAAUUGGUCUGAAGUUCUCUUUCUUUGUUGGGUCUUUGUGUGUUUUAGGUAUAAGAGUAAUUGUGGCUUCAUAGAAGGAAUUUGGUAGUGCUCUGUCUGUUUCUAUUUUGUGGAAUAGUUUGGACAGUAUUGGUAUGAGGUCUUCUAUGAAGGUCUGAUAGAAUUCUGCACUAUCCCUAUCUGUUUCUGGGCUGUUUUUAAUUUUGAGAAUUUGAAUAACUGCUUCUAUUUCUUUAGGAGUUAAAGGGUUGUUUAGAUGGUUUAUCUGUUCCUGCUUUAACUUUGGUACCUGGUAUUUUUCUAGAUAAUUGUGCAUUUCCUCCAGAUUUUCAAGUUUUAUUGAGUAUAGGCUCUUGUAGUAGGAUCUGAUUUUUUUUUUAAAUUUCCUCCGAUUCUGUUCUUAUGUCUCCCUUUUCAUUUCUAAUUUUGUUAAUUUUAACACGCUCUCUGUGGACUCUUGUUAGUCUGUCUAAGGGCUUAGCCUUCGUGUUGAUUUUCUCAAAGAACCAGCUCUUGGCUUAGUUGAUUCUUUGUACAGUCCUUUUUGUUUCUACUUGGUUGAUCUCAUCCCUGAGUUUGAUUAUUUCUUGCCUUCUACUCCUCUUGAGUGUGUUUGCCUCUUUUUUUUUGUUUAGAGCUUCUAGGUGUUCUGUCAAGCUGCUGAUGUAAGCUCUCUCAAAUUUCUUUUUGGAGGCACUCAGAGCUAUGAGUUUUCCUGUUGGCACAGCUUUCAUUGUGUCCCAUAAGUUUCGGUAUGUUGUACCUCCUUUGUCAUAAACUUCUAACAAGUCCUUAAUUUCUUUCUUUCUUUUUUUUUGACCAAGAUAUCAUUGAGUAGGGUGUUGUUCAGCUUACAUGUUUAUGUGCGAGUUCUAUCAUUAUUAUUGUUAUUGAAGAUCAGCUAUAGUCCAUGGUGAUCUGAUAGGAUGCAUGGGAAUAUUUCUAUCUUCCUGUUGAGGUCUGUUGUGUGACUGAUUGUACUAUCCGUUUUGGACAAGGUACCAUGAGGUGCUGCGAAGAAGGUCUAUCUUUCUGGUUCAGGAUGGAAUGGACUAUGAGUAGCUGUUCAAUCCAUUUGGUUCAUAACUUCUGUUAGUUUCUCUAUGUCUCUGUUUAGUUUCUGUUUCCACAAUCUGUCCAUUGAUGAGAUUGGGGUGUUGAACUCUCCUGCUCUUAUUGGGUAAGGUACAAUGUGUGGUUUGAGCUUUAGUAAGGUUUCUUUUAUGUAUGUAGGUGCCCUUGUAUUUGGUGCAUAGAUGUUUAGGAUUGAGAGUUCAUCGUGGUGAUUUUACCUUUGAUGAAUAUGAAGUGUCCUACCUUAUCUUCUUUGAUGAUGUUUAGUUGAAAGUUGAGUUUAUUCAAUUUUAGAAUGGCUACUCCAGCUUGCUUCUUCAGACCAUUUGCUUUGAAAUUUGUUUUCUAGCCUUUUAGUCUGAGGUAGUGCCUGUCGUCUCUGAGGUGGGUUUCCUACAUGCAGAAAUAUGCUGGGUCGUUUUUACGUAUCCAGUCUAUUAGUCUGUUUAUUUUUAUUGGGGAAUUGAGUCCAUUGAUGUUGAGAGAUAUUAAGGACAAGUGAUUGUUGCUUUCUGUUAUUUUCAUAUUUAGAGGUGGGAUUAUGUCUGCGUGUCUCUCUUCUUUUGGUAUUUUUGCAAGGAGAUUACUGUCUUGCCUUUUCUAGGAUGUGGUUUCCAUCCUUGUUUUAGUCUUUUCGAUUUUUAUCCUUUGUAGGGAUGGAUUUGUAGAAAGAUAUUGUGUAAAUUUGGUUUUGUCGCGGAAUAUCUUGGUUUCUCCAUGUUAAUUGAGAGUUUUGCUGGAUAUAGUAGCCUAGACCGGCAUUUGUAUUCUCUUAGGGUCUCUGACAUCGGUCCAGGAUCUUCUGGUUUUCAAAGUCUCUUGUGAGAAGUCUGGUAUAAUUCCUAAAGGUCUACCUUUAUAUGUUACUUGACCUUUUUCCCUUACUGCUUUUAAAAUUCUUUGUUUGUUUUGUGCAUUUGGUGUUCUGACUAUUAUGUGACAGGAGGGAUUACUUUCUGGUCCUAUCUAUUUGGAGUUCUGUAGGCUUCUUGUACUUUAUGGGCAUCUCUUUCUUUAGGUUCGGGAAGUUUUCUUCUAUAAUUUUGUUGAAGAUAUUUACUGGUCCUUUAAGUUGGGAGUCUUCACUCCCUUCUAUACCUAUUAUCCUUAGGUUUGAUCUUCACAUUGUGUCCUGGAUUUUCUGGGUGUUUUGGGCUAGGAGGUUUUUUUUCUGUUUUAUAUUAUCUUUGACAGUUGUGUCAAUGUUUUCUAUGGUAUCUUUGGCUCCUGAGAUUCUCUCUUCUAUCUCCUGUAUUCUGUUGGUGAUGCUGGCAUCUGUGACUCCUGAUCUCUUCCCUAGGUUUUCUAUCACCAGGGUUGUCUCCCUUUGUGCUUUCUUUCUUGUUUCUAUUUCCAUUUUUAUCUCCUGGAUUGUUUUGUUCAAUUCCUUCACCUAUUUGUUUGCGUUUUCCUGAAAAUCUUUUAGGGAUUUUUGUAUUUCCUCUAAGGGCUUCAACUUGUUUACUUGUGUUGCCCAGUAUUUCUUUAAAGGAGUUAUAUAUGUCCUUCUUAAAUUCCUCCAUCAUCAAGAUACAAUGUGAUUUUAAAUCUAAAUCUUGCUUUUCUUAUGUGUUUGAAUAUCCAGUAUUUGCUUUGGUGGGGGAACUGAUGGUGCCAAGUAAUCUUGGUUUCUGUUGCUUGGGUUCCUGAGCUUGCUUCUCACCAUCAGUUGUCUCUGGUGUUAGUUUGUCUUGAUAUUUCUGAGAAUGGCUUGACCCUACUGUAGGCUGUGUGUCAGCACUCCUGUAUACCUGUUUUCCUGUUUUCUUUCAGCCAUUUCUAGGAACAGAGUGCUCUGCCCUCAGGCAUGUAGGUGGUGCUAGUGAUUGUCUUUCUGCUCUCAGCACAGGAAGGAAUCAGAAGGGUCCUGCCACUGACUACUCCUAGGUUCCUGUGUGCAGAGGGCAGAUCUGGCACUAGGUGAUUCCCUCUUUGGUCAGGAAUGUGGACAGGGGUAGUCUUCUCUAAUUUCUCCAGAGCGUCCAGACUUCUGAGGGUCCACACCCACGUCAAGGGAUUUGGGUGCAGGGAGCUGUUUGACCGGUUCACUUCAGUUCAGGGCACUGAAUGGGACCACAGGUACCUGCCGCUGACUGCUCCUAUAUUCCCUGUGUCCAGAGGCAUCAUGCAGUUGGGCCAGCAAUGUGGGCAAAGGUGUGCAGAAGGGUGGUCUGUCCUGAAGUCUGAGGAUGGUCCGUACUUCUGGGUGUUCAGUUCUCUCUUCCACAGUAUUUGGGUGAAGAGAGCUGUGGGAUAGCAUCAAUUCUGUCAGACCUCAGAAUUCUAAGAGUCACAGAAACAAGGAAACUAUCUGCUGCUCCCAAUACCACGCACCUGCUAGAGCAUGAGGCAAAUCAUAGUCAGCUGAUGUGGAAAAUAGGAAAUAGCGCCAUAUUCCCCACCCGUGAUUAAAAUAAAAAUACUCAUAUAUUUGUGGUUUUAAAAGAAGAAAAAUGCUAAAAUUUGUCAGUACACCUCUCUUUCUAGGGAACGUGAGAGUAAAUUUUGUGAACAACAGGUCUUUGCUCCAAGUGUGUGAACCAUGUAUUUGCUCACCUUUGGGAUGACCCCUUUGUUCCCAGCUCUUGGUGAUGGUGGGUAAUCCUUGAAGAAUAGGAUUAGUAGGAAAAGACUCCCCUGUUCACACACAUCCCAGUUCUUAUUGCCGUGUCCACAGAGCUGGGGCUCAUUCACGAAUCUCUAACAAUAUUCAUCAGAAGGAGAGAAUUCUCAAUCUUCUGAAUUGCAGUGCAGAUCUCAGGAAAGCUCACUUUGGCAUGUGUCAGAAGAGCUGAGGGCAUAUAACACUGAGCCGGCCUCCUCAUCACCAAGGGAUCCUGGCAGUAGAGAGGUUGUCACAGCCCUUUUCCAGUCUGCAGCCCAGCCAGCCCCUCCUGUAUCCUUUUCCUGUUUGCUACUUCCAAAUGCUGUUGCCAGAUCGGUCAGAAAUGCAUUCUGUCCAUGUUUUCUUCCUUCUUUCUGAGCCCCAGAACUUCUCUGUCUGCGCACUUAUUUUUCACAAUGUACUUUAAUCCCAUUCAACCUCCCCUCUGGCUUACAACACACAUGAGGUAGUUAAAAAGCAAGGGUAUUGGGAUAUGGGGAAGUGUGGAAGUGGACCUGUUCAGAAUCAGUUCUUUAGGUCAAUUCCAGUUCUUGUUGUUCUCAGUCCAUUCCUCUAGCGAACACCAAACAUGAGCAUGCAGCUGCCGUCUGGAGCACGGAGCAGACACCACACAGGAAUCAGGAAGGGCAGUUCAAGCCAGAACAAACAAGGUCAACCAGUAUUCUGUAAGGGUGAGUUGACAUUAGAAUGAAAUAUGCAAAUGUUUCAUGACUGGAACAUGGAUAUAUCCUCCUGUCACCAAAGACAUGCAGUUCUUCACAAAGCAAAAAGCCCAAGGGAUUCACGGACACAGUGUCUGAUUUUACAAAAAAAAAAAAAAUUAAUGCAAAUUCAAAAGGUUAGCCCAAGUGAUCGAUCACACACAGAUAAACACAGAGACUGGACAAUAUAUAGAUGGAAGGACAGUACAGAAACUGGAUAAACAGAAUCAGGGCAAAAACUGUUACUAGCAGCUUUUUUUCAGACUAGUCAUUUCUUGGGGGUGGUUGUGGGGUUCUAACAACAUACAAUACAGAGAUUACAUAAGCCGAGAGACUAGGCAAUAAAUGCUAGACCUAGUUUUUUUCACACACAGAUAAACACAGAGACUGGACAAUAUAUAGAUGGAAGGACAGUACAGAAACUGGAUAAACAGAAUCAGGGCAAAAACUGUUACUAG
ensembl:lncRNA